GGCUGGGUAGCUCAGUGGUUAGAGCAUUCGUUUCAUAAGCGAGAGGUCGGGAGUUCGAUCCUCCCCCCAGCCACAA
rnacentral:tRNA from 2 species